rnacentral:lncRNA from 1 species
UGGGUCUCUGUAGCACCACAUUUUCAUCUUCUAAGUGGCUGAGCCAAAACUCUAGAGUUUCCUUCGGGAAAUUAUUAGCUUCUGAAAUUACAUUAAGGACUGCCUGAUGCUGUUCUUUCUCAAUAGAGCUGUAGGCUUUAACUGGUCCAAGUUUGCCAGCUAUAAUUGGUAGGAUGGAGAAGCCUUCAGAUACAUCUAGUACGUACAAAGGAUCAGGAACCACAUCUAAAGAGCUCUUGUUCUGGCUUUCUUGGAUGUUCACCCCACUGCCAUGUCUAUCAAUAUCCAUGGACUCCAAGUCCUUACUUGGAUUUAAUGAUGACAGAACCUUGCCCAUGGCAGCUCUGAAGCAUUCGUGGUACGGUACAUUGUUCAGCAGGGCUAUUUCUGUGGAUUCCAACACACAUACUUGACCUUUGCCAUCCUGUUCGCUAGUCGUCUGAAGACUAGCCAGAGCAUUACAUAAUUCAGCCUCAUUGCCCAAACCCAGCAUGUCAUCUCUGUCACUGCAGUCCAUCCCACACUCUGAAGUUAAAAAAGAAAUCUUCUGGAUCUUCAGGUAGCAGUCUUGGCAGCAAACUUCCAUCAUCACAGUAUCUCCAGCCUUCACAGAAUAAUCAGGGAGGCCUUGCACAGGAUAGACUGCCUGUUCCCAGCAAGUUUCUUCACUGGGACUCGUAGAUAGAGCAUGCUCAUCAUCAAGCUGCAGUACAAA